AUCCAGCUGGUGAGUCCCAAAUAAGACGAAACGCGCAUCCUGGAU
rfam:Schistosoma haematobium scaffold15_36, whole genome shotgun sequence.